rnacentral:tRNA from 1 species
CCGGGGCGGCGAGCAGGAUCAGGGUCGCCUGCGGGGCGGCCUCCCCGGUGGCGCGUACGAGGUCGCGUCCCACGCCCCGGCCC